GUGGGGAAUCUUGCGCAAUGGGCGAAAGCCUGACGCAGCCAUGCCGCGUGAAUGAUGAAGGUCUUAGGAUUGUAAAAUUCUUUCACCGGGGACGAUAAUGACGGUACCCGGAGAAGAAGCCCCGGCUAACUUCGUGCCAGCAGCCGCGGUAAUACGAAGGGGGCUAGCGUUGCUCGGAAUUACUGGGCGUAAAGGGCGCGUAGGCGGACAGUUUAGUCAGAGGUGAAAGCCCAGGGUGCAACCUUGGAAUUGCCUUUGAUACUGGCUGUCUUGAGUUUGGGAGAGGUGAGUGGAACUCCGAGUGUAGAGGUGAAAUUCGUAGAUAUUCGGAAGAACACCAGUGGCGAAGGCGGCUCACUGGCUCGAUACUGACGCUGAGGUGCGAAAGCGUGGGGAGCAAACAGGAUUAGAUACCCGGGUAGUCC
rnacentral:rRNA from 1 species